rnacentral:rRNA from 1 species
UACAGAGGUCCCAAGCGUUGUUCGGAUUCAUUGGGCGUAAAGGGUGCGUAGGCGGCGCGGUAAGUCGGGUGUGAAAUCUCGGAGCCUAACUCCGAAACUGCAUUCGAUACUGCCGUGCUUGAGGACUGGAGAGGAGACUGGAAUUUACGGUGUAGCGGUGAAAUGCGUAGAUAUCAGGAGGAACACCAGUGGCGAAAGCGCACUUCUGGGUUGUUACUGACGCUGAGGUACGAAAGCGUGGGGAGCAAACGGG